AGGGGUGUAGCUCAUUGGUAGAGCAUCUGCUUUGCAUGCAGAAGGUCUCAGGUACAAUCCUGAUCAUCUCCA